rnacentral:lncRNA from 1 species
AACAGAUUCAGACUAAAGCACGUGCCUGACAAUGUGUCUGCUGCAUUGCAUGAGGCAGCCUUGCUGCAGCCAACCAUAGUGGGUGCCCUUGUAGGUCCAAUUAAGAGGCUUAAUUGAAGAAUUCCAAGUUAGCAGACUGUCCUGGCACUCAGAGGAUAUUGUGCCUGGUAAUGAUAGUGUUGAAUUGGACAGAAAGAAUAUU